rnacentral:lncRNA from 1 species
AGACUUCCCAAUAGGUGUCACCAGAGACUUCCUACAGGAGCUUUGGGGCCCACAUCAUGUCAGUGCCGCUCUGAGACAGAGCUGCCAGAGGAAGAAACAAACAUCUAUCUUUGCUGUUUUACAGCCUUGUGUGGUGAAACCUCCGGAUUUGGGAGGGACGAAGGUGAUUAGGGUCUGAAAUGGACCCCCAAUAAACCAGACAGCCCCAUGGAAGAGAGAUCUGACUGUUAAAAGAAAAGCAAACAGAAAGCAACAACAACAUCAACAACAAAGAACCCUCAAAAACCUCAUUCCAAGGUAGCAACCUCAAAUAUCAGAGGUAGAUAAGCCCAAAAAGAAGAGAAAGAAUAAAUGCUAAAACGCUGAACACUCAAAAAGUCAGAGUGCCUCGUCUCCUCCAAAUGAUUCCAACACCUCUCCAACAAGGGCAAAGAACAGGGCAGAGGCUGAGAUGGCUGAAUUGACAGAAGUGGGCUAUGAAAGAACAUGGAGUUCCUCCAGUCCAGAAGAUGCAGCAACAAGGCCCCAUCUGGGAAAGAGAAACCAAGCCAUUACCAAACAUCACCUGCUGGCACCUUGAUCUUGAACUUCCAAGGCUACAGAACUGAGAAAUAAAUUUCUGUUUUGUAUAAAGAACCCAGUUACAAGGAUUUUGUUAUAGCUGUACUAAGGGACUAAGACACUCUCCUUCUAUAACCUUUGUAAUUUACCUCUUCUGAUUCCUGCCUUUGACUUUAAUGAAUAUCAUUUUUCUUCUCAACUAAUGUUUAUAUCUUUGAGUGUGAACAUUAGACCUUAUAUUUUAUUGCAGUUCUUCAUAGCAUAGAUUAUCACUAUGUGUUGAACAUUAAAAUUUUUCUUACUGCCUGCAUGGUCUUACAUAAAGCACCUCCUGUCUAAGUCACAAUUUUCUUACCUGCAGUAUAGGGUUUUCUAAAGAGCAAAUUAAAACACAUAGACUGAUACCCAGCACUUGACACAAAUUAGCUUUAUAUGCUUUUUUCCUUCCUAUCAAUAUAAAUAGCAUAGACUUCUUCCAAUAUGUCAUGUAUUUCUUUCACACAUAUAUACAUUUUAAUCCAUAGAGCAUGUCUCAUGAAACCAUCAUUAAUAAAUCAAGAUACAUACAUAAAAUCUUCACAACUAACAAUUUUAUUCUGAAAAGGUUAACACCCAGGAAUAACAGAGAGUGCCAUUUCUCUUUUCAGAUGUGGCAAUAAAAUAAGUGUGUGAAAGUUACUGCAAAGCAAAGAUAUCUAUUUUCAAAUACAGAAAUCUGGCCUGAUAAUAACAAAAGCCAAAAGGAGAAACUGAAGAUAACAACAGAUUAUGCCCAUGAAUUAAUCUCAGGCCUGUGAUAAGGGGUCAUCCUGAUGGAAUCUGUACAAAGAGACUUAGAACCCUUUUAUGUUAGAUCAUUGUUUCAUCAUUCCAUUCACCCACACCUACCAAGUGUGCAUACAAUUACUGUUUUUUAAUGGCUCAGUUUUUAACUGACAUAGGUGUUAUGGUUACAGAAAAGCAUGCUAGAAAUUUGGUAAACCACCAUGAAAAGAGACAUGGGUAACCUCAAGUGAUUCACUAUUUUAACAAAAAUUAUUAAUUGACCUCCCUGAC